ACUGCUGUGUUUAAUUCUCGCUGUCCCAUUUCUUCAAUCCUGUCGUCUCUCCAUCACGUUUAGGGCAUGCUGAUUGAAGGCCCUCCUGGACCUGCAGGCCCAGCUGGUCUCCCGGGCCCCUUGGGUCUACAUGGACCCCCUGGUGUUGCUGGGGAUCCGGGUGACAGGGUGAGUCUCUCUUCCUGUGUACCCGUCGUUCUCUGUCUAUCUCUCUCUAUCUCCCUCUCUCACUCGCUCUGGACACGUUCUAACUUGGCAUCUUUCCUCUUGUCUUGUUGACUUCGUUUCCCAGGGUCCCGCAGGGCGGGCUGGUCUUGCAGGAGCCGACGGUUUGCCAGGUCCUCCUGGCACCAUGCUCAUGCUGCCAGUAAGUACCAGAUCAGGAAUAUUGGGAAUUUACAUCCAAUUCAACAAACACUAUUAUCUACCACUAUUUAAAUGUAUUGGUAAAUCAAUUUUCUAACAACUGCUGAUGUAAAAAGGGCUUUAAACAUUAAUUGAUU
rnacentral:lncRNA from 13 species